rnacentral:misc_RNA from 1 species
UACAACCCCAUCGCACAUCAAGAUAACACUGUUUUGACGGCAAGACAACAAAUUGUACAAGUAAGGGUAGUGAAUAAACAAACAAGUUUAGGGCAGCUCUGACGGCUUCUUAAGAUAAAAGAAAGCUAAAGGCUAGCAAUUCCAAAUGCAUUCGUUCACAUAGCAAACACAAUAAUCGAGUCCCUAAAGGUCAUGAUUAGA